UAGGUACCGGAGCAAGUAAGUGCUCUUCAGCGUGAGUGAUGUAAACGAAAUGAAAUGAAUGGAACUGACCACAUGGAGAUGGCAGAAGGAAAGCACCUUCGUUAUAUAAAAAAGAAACCUGAGCCCCUCCUGCUGCUGCUACAGCAGCUUCGUCCAAUAAAAACAGGCCCUGUUCCAGCUGCUAACAAGAGCCCAAGGGUGUGGAGAGGUCACCAGCUCCCAGAGAGACUGCUAAAACCCCGGGGUCAAAAGCUGAUGGGGGAGAAAUACAGCUGAAAAUGGAAAAUUCAAUUAUAUUUCUGAUGCUGCUUGAAUUCCCAGGGAAACUCACUAGAGGCAUCAGAGAUUUGGUCUACGGUGGCUUCUGUUUCUGGAACAGUGGUUUGCCCUGUGACGUCAAUUCUCUGUUGAAUCUAAGAAGAGCUGUCGAUUUUAGUUUGUUCGGCUUUCUUCUUGUGUGGACAGGAGUGAUGACGUUCUAGCUCCUUACAUGCCCAACUGGAAACUGGAAGUUGUCAUGUAAGACUUUCCAUGGCUUUCUCCUGUCCUUCUCCAUGACCAGAUAGCACAUAUGUGAUCUGAAACUUUAAGAAAAUCCCAGUGCCUCAGCGUCAUUGUCACAAGUGUGGUAUAAAAAUAGUUGUCAUUUCUAGCUAAGACGUGUCACAGUUUGGGAAUUUGUAUUCCUUAUAUGAUUUACAAAUCUAUUUCUUCUCCAAGUUUAAUGUAUGUUAUAAUAGCAAUGCAUGUAAAAUGUAAUAGCUGCAAAAUAUUUAUGAAAUUAAAACGUGUUUGGUGGGGGCUUCCCUGGUGGCACAGUGGUUGAGAGUCUGCCUGCCGAUGCGGGGGACACGGGUUCGUGCCCCGGUCCGGGAAGAUCCCACAUGCCACAGAGCGGCUGGGCCCGUGAGCCAUGGCCGCUGG